UGACUGACUGAAGAGUUUGAUCCUGGCUCAGGACGAACGCUGGCGGCGUGCUUAACACAUGCAAGUCGAACGGGAGGACAUGGGAAGCUUGCUUCCUAUGGACUCUAGUGGCAAACGGGUGAGUAACGCGUAAGCAACCUGCCCUCCGGAUGGGGACAACAGCUGGAAACGGCUGCUAAUACCGAAUACGUUUUCAUUGCCGCAUGGCAGUGGGAAGAAAGGUGGCCUCUGAAUAUGCUACCGCCGGGGGAGGGGCUUGCGUCUGAUUAGCUAGUUGGAGGGGUAACGGCCCACCAAGGCGACGAUCAGUAGCCGGUCUGAGAGGAUGAACGGCCACAUUGGAACUGAGACACGGUCCAGACUCCUACGGGAGGCAGCAGUGGGGAAUCUUCCGCAAUGG
rnacentral:rRNA from 1 species